rnacentral:rRNA from 1 species
UUUGGAGAAGUUUGAUCCUGGCUCAGGACGAACGCUGGCGGCGUGCUUAACACAUGCAAGUCGAACGGGAUCCUGCUUGGUUUUUGCUGGGUGGGUGAGAGUGGCGAACGGGUGAGUAAUGCGUGACUAACCUGCCGUGUAGUUGGGUAUAGCUCCUGGAAACGGGUGGUAAUACCGAAUGGUCCACUGGGCUGCAUGGUCUGGUGGGAAAGUUUUGUGUGCUAUGCGAUGGGGUCGCGUCCUAUCAGCUUGUUGGUGGGGUGAUGGCCUACCAAGGCUUCGACGGGUAGCCGGCCUAAGAGGGCGACCGGCCACAUUGGGACUGAGAUACGGCCCAGACUCCUACGGGAGGCAGCAGUGGGGAAUAUUGCACAAUGGGGGGAACCCUGAUGCAGCGACGCCGCGUGCGGGAUGGAGGCCUUCGGGUUGUGAACCGCUUUUAUUGGGGAGCAAGCUGGCCCUGUGUGGGUUGGUGAGUGUACUUGGUGAAUAAGCACCGGCUAACUACGUGCCAGCAGCCGCGGUAAUAA